rnacentral:lncRNA from 1 species
UGCCAGGGAGAGAGCCCAGGAUAUAAGAGAGAGCUGAACCCAGGAGCCAAAAUACCAUUGUGUGUUUCUCAGCUCCAAUGGUGACUCGCAGUGUGUACUUAGACAAGUCACCGAGCUGUCCUCAGACUCAACUUUGUCUUCUCCUGAAAAGGAAGACAAACCCCAGAAUCAUACAGAGUCUGGUUGAGGGCAAACAAGGGAGAACUUAGGCAGGGCCUCGCAGAGCAGCAGAGACAUGCCAGCCCAGGUCCAGGUUGUAGACUCAGAGAAGGAGUGCAAUAAAAGAGAGGCCGAGUGUAAAUGGUUUUACUGCCCAGAAAAUCAUGACCGUCUUGGCACCUGUUGGUUUGGGAUAAAGAAAUGCUGUCUGCGCCAGGAAUGAGCUGAAGAACAUGGGAGGACAAGGAGCCCGGAGAAUGAAAUAAAGGCCUGACUGUAACUCUGAAAGUGCUGUGGUAUUAUUUCCCAAAAGUAAA